UAUGUGACUGGAAAUGUUAACCUAUGUAAAGCUCCUUCGACGAGUCGAGUUGUUUGGGAAUGCAGCUCUAAAUGGGAGGUAAAUUUCUUCUAAAGCUAAAUAUUGGCGAGAGACCGAUAGCGCACAAGUAGAGUGAUCGAAAGAUGAAAAGCACUUUGGAAAGAGAGUUAAAAAGCACGUGAAAUUGUUGAAAGGGAAGCGCUUGCAAUCAGACUUGUUUAAACUGUUCGGCCGGUCUUCUGACCGGUUUACUCAGUUUGGACAGGCCAGCAUCAGUUUCGGCGGCCGGAUAAAGGCUCUGGGAAUGUGGCCUUCACUUCGGUGAAGGUGUUAUAGCCCAGGGUGUAAUACGGCCAGCCGGGACUGAGGUCCGCGCUUCGGCUAGGAUGCUGGCGUAAUGGUUGUAAGCGACCCGUCUUGAAACACGGACCAAGGAGUCUAACAUCUAUGCGAGUGUUCGGGUGUCAAACCCCUGCGCGUAAUGAAAGUGAACGGAGGUGGGAACCGCAAGGUGCACCAUCGACCGAUCCUGAUGUCUUCGGAUGGAUUUGAGUAAGAGCAUAGCUGUUGGGACCCGAAAGAUGGUGAACUAUGCCUGAAUAGGGUGAAGCCAGAGGAAACUCUGGUGGAGGCUCGCAGCGGUUCUGACGUGCAAAUCGAUCGUCAAAUUUGGGUA
rnacentral:rRNA from 1 species